rnacentral:tRNA from 4 species
GGUCCCGUAGUGUAGUGGUUAACAUGCCUGCCUGUCACGCAGGAGAUCGCGGGUUCGAGUCCCGUCGGGGCCGCCA